ACGGACAGAUAGCGAGCUUCCGGUUUUACUGAGGAAAGUCCGCCCACCCUUUUUGAGGCCCUCAAAAGGGCAUGCUUAAAAGGCAUGGCAACUGAAAAGAAAUAAAACCCCCUGUGUCCGCAAUGAUGCGCUUGAACCUUUUCAAAGGGAGAUAACAGGCAGAGCAAGUUCACAGGAAAGGAUGAGAUGCCAGUCCCUCCUGGGUGCAAGGUUUAUCCGCUUAGUCAAAUGCUCGCAUGCUGUUUCAGCAACAGAAGGCGGCUUAUUUCUGUCCGU
rnacentral:RNase_P_RNA from 1 species